GGAGGUUUUAGCAGUCGCCAGCUGGAAACGGAAUCCAGGAACUUCACUUGGAACUUGAGACGAGGAAAUCAGCACAACGAGGAAUCAGAGUCGUAGCCGGACUGGAGUCAAGCCUGGAGAAAAACAUAGAGACAAGGAAUCCUCAAGUCCUGGUCUCACGUUCUUGCGACCAUCAGCUCUGGUUCUAAGUCGUCAGUUUUGGAUCUUGCCUCAGCCUAAGUACUCAAACCUCAGAAGAAACCUAGUUUGGUUCAAUCUCUAGCAGACAAGCGAACCCUUCUCACCCUCCACCAAUUGUUCACCAAAGACUCACCAGAGUACUCACCGUCAUCCUGGAUUAUUCACCGUUUGCGCAGCAGCGUCUGUUCAGUCCUCCCAGGCUCCGCAUCAUUCCUCCACGCCAACCUCUAUUCAUCAAAACAUGCUGUGCCUCCAGUCCCGGUUCCAGUUCAACAUCAAUUACCUGUCAAAUAAACUUGCUAAACUUUU